CAAUCACAUUAAAGGUCUUUUUGUCGAUUUUUAUAGCAUGAGCAAAGAAUGAGCAAAGAAAGGACUAAGCAGUACCGGGAAAGGUUAAACCAGGAUGAAGCCAGGCGUGAGGAGAUCCUUAGGGAGAGAAGAAGAAAAUAUCAAGAAAAGAAAGCUAAGGGAGAAAUUCCACCAAGAAAUAUAAGUGGCCUCCCAAAACAAAAAAAAGAAAAGCGUCGUGAAGAAUGGAGGCAGACAAAGGCAAAGAACAGGAAGAAGAAGAAGGAUCUGGCAGCUUUUUUAGACAUGACUCCCCCAUCACCUGAAGGACUUGUCCAUGGUUCUCCUGUGCAUGGUUCUCCUUCUCUAUCUCCCAUUCCAAGUCCUUCUAUUCUGUCAACAAUCAGCCAUAACCUUCCCUUAGCCCAUCCACCAAGCAAUAGGCGGAAGAAAACAGUGUGUCAAGCCAAAUUGAGAGCCAAAGUCAAGAAGCUGGAAAAAGAGAACAUGACGCUUAAAUCAGAGCUGGAUGGCAUAAGAAAAGUGAACAGCAAAAUGAGGGUCCAAAAGCAUCGCUGGGGAAAAAGUAAGGAAUCUGCCCGUCAAUCCACCACCAGACGAGCAAAGAAAAAGGUUGCUACAGAAAAAAAAAAAAAAGUUAUUCAUUUUCUAACCAGAGAUGAAAACAGUAGGCUCUUGGCGGGAAAAAAGGAUACAGUAGGGCGGAAAAAUAAAAUGCAGCGGCGUGUUCUGACCAACACAUUAUUGGAGCUCCACACCAAAUUCAGCCAGGAAUGCACCUUGGUGCAUCAGAUGUCAUACCGUCAGUUUGUGAGGUACAGGCCCAAGCACAUCACAGAGGCCAGACCCACAGACAGGAAUACUUGUGCAUGUUAUUAGCAUGAGAACAUGCAUCUUCUCAUAGAGUGUUUGGUACGUAAAGGCCUGAUCGCAACCAAGAGCCUUUCCCAUCUUCUGUCUGAGAUAACGUGCAAUGCUGAAGAUCAGCAGUAAACUGGCUCCAUGGUAUUCAGAGGAAACCCGCACUCUUAAGAGGUCCACUAGAAAACUAGAACAUAAGUGGCGUACCACUAAAUUGGAGGUUUUCCGCCUGGCCUGGAAGGACAGCCUAAUGGAGUACAAGCAAGUCCUCAUCAGGUCCAGAUCAGAUUAUUUCUCUAGGUUGAUUAGUAAGAACAAACACAACACUAAGUUCCUAUUUGAUACUGUUGCAAAUCUCACUAAGAAAAGUACACUCUGUGUUAGUUCAGAUUUCUCUCCCAAUGAUUUCUUAGAUUUCUUUGACCAAAAAAUCUAUGCAAUAAGGGACAA